rnacentral:rRNA from 1 species
UACGUAGGGUGCGAGCGUUAAUCGGAAUUACUGGGCGUAAAGCGUGCGCAGGCGGCUUGCCAAGUCAGAUGUGAAAGCCCCGGGCUUAACCUGGGAAUGGCGUUUGAAACUGGCAGGCUAGAGUUUGGCAGAGGGGGGUGGAAUUCCACGUGUAGCAGUGAAAUGCGUAGAGAUGUGGAGGAAUACCGAUGGCGAAGGCAGCCCCCUGGGCCAAUACUGACGCUCAUGCACGAAAGCGUGGGGAGCAAACAGG